rnacentral:rRNA from 1 species
CCUACGGGAGGCAGCAGUAGGGAAUAUUGCUCAAUGGGGGAAACCCUGAAGCAGCAACGCCGCGUGGAGGAUGAAGGUUUUCGGAUUGUAAACUCCUUUUGUUAGAGAAGAUAAUGACGGUAUCUAACGAAUAAGCACCGGCUAACUCCGUGCCAGCAGCCGCGGUAAUACGGAGGGCGCAAGCGUUACUCGGAAUCACUGGGCGUAAAGAGCGCGUAGGCGGGAUAGCAAGUCAGAUGUGAAAUCCUAUGGCUUAACCAUAGAACUGCAUUUGAAACUGUUAUUCUAGAGUAUGGGAGAGGUAGGUGGAAUUCUUGGUGUAGGGGUAAAAUCCGUAGAGAUCAAGAGGAAUACUCAUUGCGAAGGCGACCUGCUGGAACAUUACUGACGCUGAUGCACGAAAGCGUGGGGAGCAAACAGGAUUAGAUACCCUAGUAGUC